GGUCAGAAAUUCCGGAAUUAGAGGACACCCAACUGGUGUCCACUGCUUGGUGUGCGGGGAAAAUCUCCCACGCAUUUGGUCAUAGAAGGCUUCUCUUGUGUUGAUGAUUGUUGUUGUGGUGGUGUGAGAACAGAUCAAAAAUUGUUUUUCCAAAACAACUUGGUUAAGGCUUACUGAUUUUAGUGAAUCACUUGGAAAGUUACUUUUGGUUUAAUAGAGGGGGAAAACAGUACAAAAGCAGGAAUAUUGGCUAUUUGUCCUGGCUAAAAUAAUCUGAUCAGAGAUUUUGGAAAGAUAUUUUUUAAGAGCUCUACAGUUAAAGGCUAACUUAAUUAAAAUAUAUGUAGAAUAUGUAUGUACACACACACACACACACACACACAUAUUAGAGGCCUCUGUUCUCAUUCUCUCUAUAAAACCUUCUCAAAAGACUGAAUUUCUUUCUUCUUAAUCUCUUGCUAACUAUAUGCAUACCUUCAGUCUGCCUCUCUUUUGCUGACAUGAUUUUUGCCAAAAAUAAUGUAAAACUUCAUUGGCUUUUUGGAAAGCUUAAAUUCUUCCUCUGUGUUUUGAAAUGUAAAUUUGCUACCUUGCCCUCUAAAACUUGGUAAAGGCUUCAGUCAUGUGAGACACAGAAACCUUAACUUGUUCUGUUUACAAAGGCAUAGUUUGAAUACAGCUGUCCUUUUAAACUAAUGAGUUUUACUUUUCUCAUGGCUAAAAUUUAAAAAUCAAAGCUAUAAAACCUUUUUAUUUUAUGUAUACAUGUGUACAGGUCUAUGUUUGCAUAUUGUCUUCAUGGUACUAGUCUGAGGGACCCAGAGGCAGACAACAGCGGAAGCUUGGGGCACAGUGUAGUAAACUGUAAAAACAAAAGAGAAAGGAAGAGACAGAUUCUGUUGGUCUGAUACUGUCUUUAUUACGUCUUUUGAUUGUUUGGAAGACUGAAUUCCCUCUCUAUUAAAAGGAUGCAUUGGAAACAUUGGCUAUUUUUACCAACGCUUUGACUGGAAUGGCAUCUUUUCAGAUAUGGCCAGAUUGCUUUGAGGGAUUGAAGUUGACUUUAUAGAGCCAGUAGAGUGUGAAAAAGACUGGCCUCCUAACCUGUGUACAUGGUUCCCUUAUGAGGUUCUCAACCUUGCAGAAAACUAAAAGCAUGCCAUUUCAAAGACUAGAGAUGAUUCAACAAGUGACGGCAACUGAACUAUAUAAAUCAAUGCCUUGACUGAGAUCUCGGGUUUUUUUGUGUUUUUUUUUGUUUGUUUUUUGUUUUUUGUUUUUUGCCGCCCUAUGAUGCCAUUUCAAUUUGGCUUUUGGGUACUCUUAAAUUUUGUCACUGAGAUGCCUUCUUCUUUCCCCUCAACACGGGGCAGGACUAUUCAGGAAUGGGCCUUCCCAGCAAUGAGGGACACCUUGACACUCAGACUUUGAUCAUCAGUGCUUUCAAUAAGAAAGAUUUUUGAUCAAAAGUGGGAAAUAAGAAAGAAAAGAAACUUCAUUUGAGAAAUGCUAGCCCCCUUUAAUUGUCAGACCCAGAGAACCUUUGAAAUGUGACAGCAUAUGACAGCAGUCAUGCCUUGCCCCCUCCUCCUGAGCUAAAUAAUUAUCUCUUGAAGCCACUAGCUAUGUGGGUUUUAGACUGACACCAAGUAGUCAUAAAAUGUUACAUGCUGGUCACCAUAUAGUUCAACAAUAUAUAUCCACUCACUAAUUAACGUUACUUCUGUAGCCCAACGAGAAUUCCUGUCAAACACCUUGUAUCAGCCCAUUCCUUGUCCCCUUUUGCCUUUAAAAAUCUACUUUUAAUGAAGAUGAAACAGAGUACUCCCCAAGACAAUGUGGAAGUAUGUCCUAGGCCAGUGUCCUCAACCUUGAUCCAAAUAAACUCUCUGUAUU